rfam:Chishuiella changwenlii strain DSM 27989 genome assembly, contig: Ga0131172_102
UUGCACAAGGCAAGUCCUACACAACCAGCUCCUGUUUAAUCCUCCAGGACGGGAACGUAGCAAAGGUAUACGGUUGUAGCGGUGUGAUGUAGGUCGCUUGCCUAUUU